rnacentral:rRNA from 1 species
UACGAAGGGGGCUAGCGUUGCUCGGAAUCACUGGGCGUAAAGCGCACGUAGGCGGAUUGUUAAGUCAGGGGUGAAAUCCUGGAGCUCAACUCCAGAACUGCCUUUGAUACUGGCGAUCUUGAGUCCGGGAGAGGUGAGUGGAACUGCGAGUGUAGAGGUGAAAUUCGUAGAUAUUCGCAAGAACACCAGUGGCGAAGGCGGCUCACUGGCCCGGUACUGACGCUGAGGUGCGAAAGCCAGGGGAGCAAACGGG